rnacentral:lncRNA from 1 species
GUCUGGGAAGUGAGGAGCGCCUCUUCCCGGCCACCAUCCCAUCUAGGAAGUGAGGAGCGUCUCUGCCCGGCUGCCCAUCGUCUGAGAUGUGGGGAGCGCCUCUGCCCCGCCGCCCAUCAUCUGAGAUGUGGGGAGCGCCUCUGCCCCGCCACCCCGUCUGGGAUGUGAGGAGUGCCUCUGCCCGGCCGCGACCCUGUCUGGGAACUGAGGAGUGUCUCUGCCCAACCGCCACCCAGUCUGGGAGGUGAGGAGCGGCUCUGCCUGGCCGCCCAGUCUGAGAAGUGAGGAGCCCCUCCUCCUGGCAGCCACCCCAUCUGGGAAGUGAGGAGCGUCUCCGCCCCGCAGCCGCCCCCUCCAGGAGGCUCUUCUGUUUCAUGACUCAGCACAACACUGCUACUAAUCCUGUCUUUAUUUAAAAUUUUAAUAUUUUGGCUGGGAGCUGUGGCUCACGCCUGUAAUCCCAGCACUUUGGGAGGCCGAGGCGGGCAGAUCACUCACAAGUUCGAGACCAGCCUGGCCAACAUGGUGAAACCCUGUCUCUGCUAAAAAUACAAAAUUAUCCAGGCAUAGUGGCGCACACCUGUAAUCCCAGCUACUCAGGAGGCUGAGGCAGGAGAAUCACUUGAACCAGGGGCUGGAGGUUGCAGUGAGCUGAGAUCGCACCAUUGAACUCCAGCCUGGGCAACAAGAGCAAAACUCUAUCUCAAAA